UGGGGAAUUUUGGACAAUGGGGGAAACCCUGAUCCAGCCAUCCCGCGUGUGCGAUGAAGGCCUUCGGGUUGUAAAGCACUUUUGGCAGGAAAGAAACGUCAUGGGUUAAUACCCCGUGAAACUGACGGUACCUGCAGAAUAAGCACCGGCUAACUACGUGCCAGCAGCCGCGGUAAUACGUAGGGUGCAAGCGUUAAUCGGAAUUACUGGGCGUAAAGCGUGCGCAGGCGGUUCGGAAAGAAAGAUGUGAAAUCCCAGAGCUCAACUUUGGAACUGCAUUUUUAACUACCGGGCUAGAGUGUGUCAGAGGGAGGUGGAAUUCCGCGUGUAGCAGUGAAAUGCGUAGAUAUGCUGAGGAACACCGAUGGCGAAGGCAGCCUCCUGGGAUAACACUGACGCUCAUGCACGAAAGCGUGGGGAGCAAACAGG
rnacentral:rRNA from 1 species